AGAAGCCUCUGCAGUUUUCUAUGCUUCUGCCAGCCCAGAAACGUCUUAAAAGUUAAUACUAGAAUUUAUUAUUCAAAUGGAGGCUGCAUGUGUGACAGGAAUCCCCAUAUAUGAUUUCUUCUUUGAGACCAAGGAAGAAACAAAACAAGAAAAUGAAAUAAAGUUGCUGCUGUGAUUGCAGAAUUACUUAGAGUAACCUCUGAAGAAACGUGCCCAUUGGG